UGAUCUCACCCUCUGCUGCCCCCCGGGGUUGUAUUAUAAUCAGACCUCCUCGUGCUGUACAGAGACCCCGAUCUGCGUGUCGGAGUGCGCUACAGACGAGGUGUGCGACAUGGGGGUGUGUGCGUGCAAUUCCAUCCUCUAUCACCAUAAGAAUGUUACUGAUUUCCACCCUGCGCUGAGCUGCGAUAUAAAUACGAUGACGUUCACUGUCAGCCAAUGUCUGCUCUCCUCCCUGGGGUACGCCCCCCCGUCUAUUCAUCUGAGGGACUCAUCACAGAGCUGCAACUUCCUUUAUGACAACAUUGCCAACGGGCAGAAAUUCCUCAAUCUGCAAUUCGUGACGUCAUCCGGCGUGUGCGGGAACACGGCAACGGUAACUAUGGAUCACAUGCACUCCAGAAAUCUACACUUUGUAUCUCU